rnacentral:rRNA from 1 species
GACAGAGGGUGCAAACGUUGCUCGGAAUCACUGGGCGUAAAGGGCGUGUAGGCGGGAAGGAAAGUCAGAUGUGAAAUCCCCAGGCUCAACCUGGGAACUGCAUUUGAAACUCCCUUUCUUGAGUACCGGAGAGGAAAGUGGAAUUCCUGGUGUAGAGGUGAAAUUCGUAGAUAUCAGGAGGAACACCAGUGGCGAAGGCGGCUUUCUGGACGGUAACUGACGC